ensembl:snRNA U6 U6 spliceosomal RNA
GUGCUGGCUUCUGCAGCACAUACACUAAAAUUGGAAUGAGACAGAGAAGAUUAGCAUGGCCCCCCACACAGGAUGAUAUGCAAAUUCAUGAAAAACUCCAUAUUUUU